GGCCGUGAAAAUACUGCCCCCUACACCCCAACAGGUUAAGGAGCCUUUUGGACCUAGACUUGCUGCUCCGGUACUGCUUGCUCUGCGGUAGCAGAGAGAACAGUCCAUGUCUUGGGUGACUGGAGUCUCUGACAAUUUUAUGGGCCUUCCUCUGACUCCACCUACUAGUAUAGAGGUCCUGGAUGGCAAGAAGCUUGGCCCCAGUGUUGUAUUGGGCCGAACGCCCUAACCUCUGUAGCACCUUACAGUCGGAUGCCGAGCAGUUGCCACACCAGGCGGUGAUGCAACCGGUCAGGAUGCUCUCGAUGGUGCAGCUGUAGAACUUUGAGGAUCUGGGGACCCAUACCAAAUCUUUUCAGACUCCUGAGGGAGAAUAGGCGUUGUCAUGCCCUCUUACCGACUGUCUUGGUGUGUUUGGACCAUGAUAAACUCAGCAUAAAGACAAACGUCCUCUCACUGUCAACUGCGUUUAUUUUCAGCAAACUUAACAUGUGUAAAUAUUUGUAUGAACAUAACAAGAUUCAACAACUGAGACAUAAACUGAACAAGUUCCACAGACAUGUGACUAACAGAAAUUGAAUAAUGUGUCACUGACCAAAGGGGGUAACAGUCAGUAUCUAGUGUGGCCACCAGCUGCAUUAAGUACUGCAGUGCAUCUCCACCUCGUGGACUGCACCAGAUUUGCCAGUUAAUACUGUGAGAUGUUACCCCACUCUUCCACCAAGGCACCUACAAGUUCCCGAACAUUUCUGGGGGGAAUGGCCCUAGCCCUCGCCCUCCGAUCCAACAGGUCCCAGACAUGCUCAAUGGGAUUGAGAUCCGGGCUCUUCGCUGGCCAUGCCAGAACACUGACAUUCCUGUCUUGCAGGAAAUCACGCACAGAACGAGCAGUAUGGCUGGUGGCAUUGUGUUGCUGGAGGCUCAUGUCAGGAUGAGCCUGCAGGAAGGGAACCACAUGAGGAAGGAGGAUGUCUUCCUGUAACGCACAGCAUUGAGAAUGCCUGCAAUGACAACAAGCUCAGUCCGACACACCGCCCAAGACCAUGACAGACCCUCCACCUCCAAAUCGAUCCCGCUCCAGAGUACAGGCCUCAGUGUAACGCUCAUUCCUUCGACGAUAAAAACAAAUCUGACAAUCACCCCUGGUGAGACAAACCGCGACUCAUCAGUGAAGAGCACUUUUUGCCAGUCCUGUCUGGUCCCACGAUGGUGGGUUUGUGCCCAUAGGCGACAUUGUUGCUGGUAAUGUCUGGUGAGGACCUGCCUUACAACAGGCCUACAAGCCCUCAGUCCAGCCUCUCUCAGCCUAUUGCGAACAGUCUGAGCACUGAUGGAGGGAUUGUGCAUUCCUGGUGUAACUCGGGCAGUUGUUGUUGCCAUUCUGUACCUGUCACGUAGGUGUGACGUUCGGAUGUACCGAUCCUGUGCAGGUGUUGUUACACGUGGUCUGACACUGCGAGGACGAUCAGCUGUCCGUCCUGUCUCUCUGAAGCACGGUCUUAAGCGUCUCACAGUACGGACAUUGCAAUUUAUUGCCCUGGUCACAUCUGCAGUCCUCAUGCCUCCUUGCAGCAUGCCUAAGGCACGUUCACGUAGAUGAGCAGGGACCCUGGGCAUCUUUUUUUCUGUGUUUUUCAUAGUCAGUAGAAAGCCCUCUUUAGUGUCCUAAGUUUUCAUAACUGUGACCUUAAUUGCCUACCGUCUGUAAGCUGUUAGUAUCUUAACGACCGUUCCACAGGUACAUCAAAUCAAAUCAAAUCAAAGUUAUUUAUAUAGCCCUUUGUACAUCAGCUGAAAUCUCAAAGUGCUGUACAGAAACCCAGCCUAAAACCCCAAACAUCAAGCAAUGCAUGUGAAAGAAGCACGGUGGCUAGGAAAAACUCCCUAGGAAAAACUCCCUAGAAAGGCCAAAAACCUAGGAAGAAACCUAGAGAGGAACCAGGCUAUGAGGGGUGGCCAGUCCUCUUCUGGCUGUGCCGGGUGGAUAUUAUAACGGAACAUGGUCAAGAUGUUAAAAUGUUCAUAAAUGACCAGCAUGGUCAAAUAAUAAUAAUCAUAGUAGUUGUCGAGGGUGCAACAAGCACGUCCGGUGAACAGGUCAGGGUUCCGUAGCCGCAGGCAGAACAGUUGAAACUGGAGCAGCAGCAUGGCCAGGUGGACUGGGGACAGCAAGGAGUCAUCAUGCCAGGUAGUCCUGAGGCAUGGUCCUAGGGCUCAGG
rnacentral:lncRNA from 1 species